rnacentral:rRNA from 1 species
AAUGAACGUUGGCGGCAUGGAUUAGGCAUGCAAGUCGAGGGAGAACCCGCAAGGGGGACACCGGCGAGCGGGGUAGAAAUACAUAGGUAACGUACCCUCAGGACGGGGAUAGCCAAGGGAAACUUUGGGUAAUACCCGAUGUGAUGUCAGGAUGUGAAUGCCUGCCAUCAAAGGUGAGAUUCCACCUGGGGAGCGGCUUAUGCAUCAUUAGCUUGUUGGCGGGGUAACGGCCCACCAAGGCUGCGAUGAUUAGGGGGUGUGAGAGCAUGGCCCCCACCACUGGCACUGAGACACUGGCCAGACACCUACGGGUGGCUGCAGUCGAGAAUCUUCGGCAAUGGGCGAAAGCCUGACCGAGCGAUGCCGCGUGCGGGAUGAAGGUCUUCGGAUUGUAAACCGCUGUCGGAGGGGAUGAAGUGUAUGGGAGCAAUCUCCUGUAUUUGACAGAGCCUCGGAGGAAGCACGGGCUAAGUUCGUGCCAGCAGCCGCAGUAAAAC